rnacentral:rRNA from 1 species
AAUUGACUGAGCGGCGGACGGGUGAGUAACGCGUGGGUAACCUGCCUCAUACAGGGGGAUAACAGUUAGAAAUGACUGCUAAUGCCGCAUAAGCGCACAGCAUCGCAUGGUGCAGUGUGAAAAACUCCGGUGGUAUGAGAUGGACCCGCGUCUGAUUAGCUAGUUGGUGGGGUAACGGCUCACCAAGGCGACGAUCAGUAGCCGACCUGAGAGGGUGAUCGGCCACAUUGGGACUGAGACACGGCCCAAACUCCUACGGGAGGCAGCAGUGGGGAAUAUUGCACAAUGGGGGAAACCCUGAUGCAGCGACGCCGCGUGAAGGAAGAAGUAUCUCGGUAUGUAAACUUCUAUCAGCAGGGAAGAUAAUGACGGUACCUGACUAAGAAGCCCCGGCUAACUACGUGCCAGCAGCCGCGGUAAUACGUAGGGAGCGAGCGUUGUCCGGAAUUACUGGGUGUAAAGGGAGCGUAGGCGGGAUCGCAAGUCAGAUGUGAAAACUAUGGGCUUAACCCAUAAACUGCAUUUGAAACUGUGGUUCUUGAGUGAAGUAGAGGUAAGCGGAAUUCCUAGUGUAGCGGUGAAAUGCGUAGAUAUUAGGAGGAACAUCAGUGGCGAAGGCGGCUUACUGGGCUUUAACUGACGCUGAGGCUCGAAAGCGUGGGGAGCAAACAGGAUUAGAUACCCUGGUAGUCCACGCCGUAAACGAUGAUUACUAGGUGUGGGGGGGACUGACCCCUUCCGUGCCGCAGCAAACGCAAUAAGUAAUCCACCUGGGGAGUACGACCGCAAGGUUGAAACUCAAAGGAAUUGACGGGGGCCCGCACAAGCAGUGGAGUAUGUGGAUUAAUUCGAAGCAACGCGAAGAACCUUACCAGGUCUUGACAUCGUAUGCAUAGCUCAGAGAUGAGUGAAAUCUCUUCGGAGACAUAUAGACAGGUGGUGCAUGGUUGUCGUCAGCUCGUGUCGUGAGAUGUUGGGUUAAGUCCCGCAACGAGCGCAACCCUUACUGUUAGUUGCUACGCAAGAGCACUCUAGCAGGACUGCCGUUGACAAAACGGAGGAAGGUGGGGAUGACGUCAAAUCAUCAUGCCCCUUAUGACCUGGGCCUCACACGUACUACAAUGGCUGUCAACAGAGGGAUGCAAAGCCGCGAGGUGGAGCGAACCCCUAAAAGCAGUCUUAGUUCGGAUUGUAGGCUGCAACCCGCCUACAUGAAGUCGGAAUUACUAGUAAUCGCAGAUCAGCAUGCUGCGGUGAAUACGUUCCCGGGCCUUGCACACACCGCCCGUCA